UAUUAGGCUGUGAAGGAGAGGAGUAGGUGUACACUGGCUACAGAGAGGGACAUCCCAUGGGCUGAAAGGAGUCCCGCCGAAGGUACACCGAAGGUAGUUCUGGAGCCUGCGGGCCGAAAUUGGAGUAGGCCUGAUCGGGUUUUGCCCGUUACAGCGUGAGUGAUAAAUGAAGGUGGUACCGCGGAAUGCCCUUUCGCCCUUCCU
rnacentral:ncRNA from 1 species